CCUACGGGAGGCAGCAGUAGGGAAUCUUUCACAAUGGGCGAAAGCCUGAUGGAGCAACGCCGCGUGCAGGAUGAAGGCCUUCGGGUUGUAAACUGCUUUUAUAAGCGAUAAAUAUGAUGGUAACUUAUGAAUAAGGAUCGGCUAACUACGUGCCAGCAGCCGCGGUCAUACGUAGGAUCCGAGCAUUAUCCGGAGUGACUGGGUGUAAAGAGUUGCGUAGGUGGCAUAAUAAGUAGCUAGUGAAAUCUGGUGGCUCAACCAUUCAGACUAUUAGCUAAACUGUUAAGCUCGAGACCGUUAGGGGUAACUGGAAUUUCUAGUGUAGGAGUGAAAUCCGUAGAUAUUAGAAGGAACACCAAUAGCGGAGGCAGGUUGCUGGGACGGUUCUGACACUAAGGCACGAAAGCGUAGGGAGCAAACGGGAUUAGAUACCCUUGUAGUC
rnacentral:rRNA from 1 species